CAUCAAGUUUUCACUCAAACGAGAUCGCUUCUCUUUCAUAUUUUGGCUUGUUUCUUGAGCUAGUAGGAGGCUGUGUGCGUUGAUACAAGAAAAACUUUGUUGUGCAGAGGAAGAUCGAGGUAGAAGAACUGCUUGAAAAUGAAACUUCCAACAUUGAAACAAAAUCAAGCAUGGCAGAAGAGAAACAACGACGCCAGGUUGAAGAUAGCUUGAUGAAAUUGAACGUAGUUGAAGCACCUAGCAUACGCUCGAGAGUUUUGGAUGAGGACUCGUCAACCACUGAAAACAUGAAUGAGUCCAAGCAUGUUUACGACGAUAAAGGCUCUUGCGAGCGGGAUUUAUCGAGCACAAAAGCGACGACACUUAUCAAUGGUGAAGGAUUGUCCCUGUAUGAAAUAUCUAAGUUAUAAGAUUCGGCUAUGAAAUGCACACUAAACGGCAAAAUAUGACGGAAAGUGGGUUUAGGAGGAAGGUAUGCGAAAUAUG